rnacentral:rRNA from 1 species
UACGGAGGGUGCAAGCGUUAAUCGGAAUUACUGGGCGUAAAGCGCACGCAGGUGGCUGAGUCAGUCGAUUGUGAAAGCCCUGGGCUUAACCUGGGAAUUGCAGUCGAUACUACUCAGCUAGAGUAUGGGAGAGGGUAGUGGAAUUCCCGGUGUAGCGGUGAAAUGCGUAGAUAUUGGGAGGAACACCAGUGGCGAAGGCGGCUCACUGGACCGGUACUGACGCUGAUGCGCGAAAGCGUGGGGAGCAAACAGG